rnacentral:lncRNA from 1 species
AAUGAUGAGAUUACCUGCCACCACGGUGUUGGAUGUGUUUGCCUCCUGUUGAGUCAUGGUGAAGAUCCGCACUGGAGCUGACGAACCCUCACCCCUGAAACCUGCUGAAGAAGAGGCUGCCCCUCUUCCUCUGCCUCUGCCACUAGCCUGAGUUGCGGCUGGAGCUGCUGGCUGAGCCACACUACCAGAAGCUGUCUGCUGAGACUGUGCUCCAAAAGCUGCC